CAAGCCGCCACCUACGGCCAGCCCUCGGGCCGUCUUGCUUGACCACGCUCAGGGUGCGCCGCCGGCUCUCGAGGCCUCUUGCUCCGACCCCACAUAGGGCGCGCAAGCGACUGGGGCCGAGGAGGAGACCCAGGUGGAGCACGCCAUCUCUGUCGACCGGAGGAGCACCAGGUAUUUCACUCAAAUAGUCGACGCCGCGAGAGGGAGAUAGAAGUAGAAGUGGAGGCAGAAGCAAGAGGAAGGUGGACCUCGAGGUGUCGCGGCGCUCGGGCCUUGGUAGACUACGCCGCCCCUUUGCUCUCGCGCCGCCAGGGCCCUCUUGCUCUCAGGUUCCUCUCUCUCUCUCUCUCUAUCUCUCUCUCUCUCUCUCUCUCUCUCUCUCCUAUGCAUCUCCAUCAAUGGCCACUGUCUGAUUUGUUGUUGAUUUGGUAGGACAAUCUUGGCUGACUACUUGGUCCUGCUGUGGUUGGUUCCGGAUCUGACUGCACACCUCCCGUCCGUUGUCCGCCGUUUGCUCGCUGGCCGCCAUUAGAAAGGUUCGUUCUUCCAUCCUUGUUUCUCCUUCCAGACGUCCCGCUCUUCGCACCUCAUGCAUGUUUGUUGGUUUCGGCUGCACAGGGUGGUUGUGAGGGUUUGGUGCCAGGGUCAUUGAUGGGUCAGUGGUUGUUGUUCCUUCAAAUUUAAUCGUCCUUCCUCCUGCAUCUCUGGCUAAGGUGCUUAUCU
rnacentral:lncRNA from 1 species